UGGGGAAUAUUGCACAAUGGGCGCAAGCCUGAUGCAGCCAUGCCGCGUGUGUGAAGAAGGCCUUCGGGUUGUAAAGCACUUUCAGCGAGGAGGAAGGGUAGUGUGUUAAUAGCACAUUGCAUUGACGUUACUCGCAGAAGAAGCACCGGCUAACUCCGUGCCAGCAGCCGCGGUAAUACGGAGGGUGCAAGCGUUAAUCGGAAUUACUGGGCGUAAAGCGCACGCAGGCGGUUUGUUAAGUCAGAUGUGAAAUCCCCGCGCUUAACGUGGGAACUGCAUUUGAAACUGGCAAGCUAGAGUCUUGUAGAGGGGGGUAGAAUUCCAGGUGUAGCGGUGAAAUGCGUAGAGAUCUGGAGGAAUACCGGUGGCGAAGGCGGCCCCCUGGACAAAGACUGACGCUCAGGUGCGAAAGCGUGGGGGAGCAAACA
rnacentral:rRNA from 1 species